GACGAACGCUGGCGGCGUGCUUAACACAUGCGAGUCGAACGGAAAGGCCCCUUUGGGGGUACUCGAGUGGCGAACGGGUGAGUAACACGUGAGUAACCUGCCCUUGACUUCGGGAUAACUUCAGGAAACUGGGGCUAAUACCGGAUAGGAAUCCUUGCUGCAUGGUGGGGGUUGGAAAGCUUCGGCGGUUUUGGAUGGACUCGCGGCUUAUCAGCUUGUUGGUGGGGUAGUGGCUUACCAAGGCUUUGACGGGUAGCCGGCCUGUGAGGGCGACCGGCCACAUUGGGACUGAGAUACGGCCCAGACUCCUACGGGAGGCAGCAGUGGGGAAUAUUGCACAAUGGGCGGAAGCCUGAUGCAGCAACGCCGCGUGCGGGAUGACGGCCUUCGGGUUGUAAACCGCUUUCAGCAGGGGCGAAGCUUGUGGUGACGGUACCUGCAGAAGAAGCACCGGCUAACUACGUG
rnacentral:rRNA from 1 species